AGUGAACGCUGGCGGUAGGCCUAACACAUGCAAGUCGAACGGCAGCACAGUAAGAGCUUGCUCUUACGGGUGGCGAGUGGCGGACGGGUGAGGAAUACAUCGGAAUCUUCUUUUUCGUGGGGGAUAACGUAGGGAAACUUACGCUAAUACCGCAUAUGACCUACGGGUGAAAGCAGGGGAUCUUCGGACCUUGCGCGAUUGAAUGAGCCGAUGUCGGAUUAGCUAGUUGGCGGGGUAAAGGCCCACCAAGGCGACGAUCCGUAGCUGGUCUGAGAGGAUGAUCGGCCACACUGGAACUGAGACACGGUCCAGACUCCUACGGGAGGCAGCAGUGGGGAAUAUUGGACAAUGGGCGCAAGCCUGAUCCAGCCAUACCGCGUGGGUGAAGAAGGCCUUCGGGUUGUAAAGCCCUUUUGUUGGGAAAGAAAAGCAGCAGGUUAAUACCCCGCUGUUCUGACGGUACCCAAAGAAUAAGCACCGGCUAACUUCGUG
rnacentral:rRNA from 1 species